rnacentral:lncRNA from 1 species
UCAGAUCUGUAACAAAAUGAGGCAAAUGCGGCCAGCGACGCCGCCAUGGCUGCAAAAUCACACAGUUGCAUAUGGGGAGAGAAAGACAAAAGUACCCCCGUCUCUCUACCCCCAACACACGCCAUCUGGUUUUUGCCCUGCCAAGCUACGGGUCGGGUCACAAAUUGCCCGAUUCUCCUGCUUCUCAACAAAAAAAAUAUCAUCACAGCCUUCAAUAAGGGUUUACAUAGGAGGAGGAGGUGGUAAAUAAGCUUAUCCAAACACGCCCUUAAGUACAGUCCCACAUCGUGGAACACGAAAUGGAGGGAGAUACAUAUAUGUGUUCACACAUACAUACAUAUAUAUAUACAUACACACACACAUACAUAUACUCUCUCACAAGAGAGUGAAAUUGAGGGCUGUUUGUUUAGAGAGGGAAUCGAAAAUCACUGGCGAAUCAGAGAGAGGUCAACCACCCUUGAGAAAUCCCUUUCUCUGGUAGCCUCAUUCUUGAGCAGGAGAAUGUUGAAUCUCGAGUUAUUUUUCCUUUUGGGUCUUUUUAAA